UGGAGUGAUUUGUCUGGUUAAUUCCGAUAACGAACGAGACUCCGACCAAUUAUUGAUGUAGCCGCAUAAAGAUCAACGAUAGCUUAGGCGUGUCAACGAUCGCGGUUGCAAAAAGAUAUGGGAUUAGCUGUAGUAAACAGCACGAGAUAGAGCAAUAACAGGUCUGUGAUGCCCUUAGAUGUUCUGGGCCGCACACGCGCUACAAUAGCUUAACCAACAAGUUUUCCCUGUCUAAGAACGGGGGUAAACUAAUGAAACUAAGCGGUAGCCGGAAUGGAGAAUUGCAAUUAUUUUUCCUGAACUAGGAAUGCCUAGUAUAUUCGAGUCAACAGCUCGUAUAGAUUACGUCCCUGCCACUUGUACGCACCGCCCGUCGCUACUACCGAUCGGAUUUAUUAGUGAAUUUUAAAGACAAGCCUAGCCUGUUUAUACAGGCAUGGUUUGAAAUUAAUGUGAACUGAUGAAUCUAGAGGAAGUAAAAGUCGUAACAAGGUUUCCGUAG
rnacentral:rRNA from 1 species